rnacentral:rRNA from 1 species
CAGCCGCGGUAAUACGGAGACUACAAGCGUUACUCGGAUUUACUGGGCGUAAAGGGUGCGUAGGCGGUCAGAUGUGUUAGGUGUGAAAGCCUGGGGCUUAACUCCAGAAUUGCGCCUAAAACUGUCUGACUCGAGGCUCGGAGAGGCAAGCGGAAUUCCUAGUGUAGCAGUGAAAUGCGUAGAUAUUAGGAGGAACACCGAAGGCGAAGGCAGCUUGCUGGACGAGAUCUGACGCUGAAGCACGAAAGCGUGGGGAGCAAAAGGGAUUAGAUACCCCUGUAGUCCACGCCGUAAACGUUGUACACUAGGUUUUGGACGAUUCGACCCGUUCAGGGCCCAAGCUAACGUGAUAAGUGUACCGCCUGAGGACUACGGCCGCAAGGCUAAAACUCAAAGGAAUUGACGGGGGCCCGCACAAGCGGUGGAGCAUGUGGCUUAAUUCGAUGCAACGCGAAGAACCUUACCUAGGUUUGACAUGCACUGGACAGGGUAUGAAAGUACCUCUCCCUUCGGGGCCGGUGCACAGGUGCUGCAUGGCUGUCGUCAGCUCGUGUCGUGAGAUGUUCGGUUAAGUCCGGUAACGAGCGCAACCCCCGUUCUUAGUUGCUAACGAGUAAUGUCGAGAACUCUAAGGAUACAAACUCAUUAUAUGAGUGGGAAGGUGGGGAUGAAGUCAAGUCAGUAUGGCCCUUACACCUAGGGCUGCACACGUGCUACAAUGCCUGGUACAAUGAGAAGCAAUACCGCGAGGUGGAGCAAAUCUAUAAAACCAGGCCCAGUUCAGAUUGGAGUCUGCAAUUCGACUCCAUGAAGCCGGAAUCGCUAGUAAUGGCGUAUCAGCUACGACGCCGUGAAUACGUUCUCGGGCCUUGU